ensembl:processed_transcript Gm6787 predicted gene 6787
CUUUUUAGCAUUAGAGACCUUAGGCCAUGGUUUCAAAUACCACCUCAAGUCUGUAAAAGUCGUGGGUAAAAGGCCAGUGGAGGGUACUUGUUUACUGUGGAAGUGAUCCCUGAUCAUGUGUGGCAGAAGCCGAACUUUGGUGGCACAGGGCAACACUGCCACCAAGAGUAAGCUGCGAGACAUCUCAGGCGGUGAAGUCAAACAAGAAGGAGCUGCAAGACUGGGCUGUGAAAUGUUGCCAAGCCAUUUCCAGAGCCGUGAAAAGGAGUCAGAAACAAUGAAAAGAGAUGCAGAAGCCACAGUUAUUGCUGUGGAGCUGGGAUAGCUGCAAACACAGAUAUGACAACCCAGCUUAUUUCUUCCAACUUGGAGCUCUACUCUUCACUGGCCACCUUCCGAGAGUUGUUACAGCUAAUAGGAUGUUGAAGCAGAUGCUUUUCCGGUAUCAAGGUUACAUUGGUGCAACCCUAGUUUUGAGGAGAGUAGACAGUACUGGUCCUCAUCUCUACAGCAUCUAUCCUCAUGGAUCAACUGAUAAAUCGCCUUAUGUCACUGUGGGUUCUGGCUCCUUGGCAGCAAUGGCUGUGUUUGAAGGUUAAAUUUAGGCUGGAUAUGGAGGAGAAAGAAGCUAGUGAGUGAGGCUAUUGCAGCUAAGCAUCUUUAUUGACUGAGGGUCUGGAAGCAACAUUGAUCUGCGUGUUAUCAGCAAGAGCAAGCUGGACUUUCUUCGUUCAUACUCAGUGCCCAACAAGAAAGGGACCGGAUUUGGCCGGUACAGAUGUGAGAAAGGCACUACCGCUGUCCUCACUGAGAAAGCCACCCUUCUGGAGAUUCGGGUACUAGAAGAGACAAUGGAUACUUCGUGAACAGUGCUGUGGGUGGUUGGAUAUCUCUUUGGAUGACUUGGGGUACACACCACCCCUACCCCCACACCACUCUACCCCCCAUCAGAAAACAUGCCUUUGGCUAUUGCUCAAUUAAAAAAAGACAAAAUAAUGCAAACUGCUCUUGCAGAAGUCUCAGGCUCAGUUCCCAGCACCCACUAACAAGACAUCAAAUGCCCUAUUGUGGCCUUUGUGGGCACACACACACACAUACACACAAAUAAUAAAAUGGUCCCUGAUUGUGGUGGUUUGAAAAAGAAUGGCCCCCAUAGCCUCAUAUAUUUGAAUGCUUAGUCAUUAGGGAAUGGAACUAUUUGAAGGGAUUAUAAAGAUUGAGAGGUGUGGGCUUGUUGGAGGAAGUAUGUCACUGGGAGUGGGCUUUGAGGGUUCAAAAGCCCAUAUUAUACCUAGAGUCAGUCUCUCCCCCACCCUCCUGUGGCUCAGCAUGUCCCUCCCAGCUCUUUCUCCAGCACCAUGCCCGCCUGGAUGCUGCCAUCCUUCCUGCCAUGAGGAAAACAGAUAAACCUCUGAAGCUGUAAGCCAGCCCCAAUUAAAUGCUUUCUCUUAUAA